GGAGAUAUGCCCGAGAGGCCAAAAGGGGCAGUUUUGAAAACUGUUUGGAGUAAUACGCAAGGGUUCGAAUCCCUUUCUGACCU